UACGUAGGGUGCAAGCGUUGUCCGGAAUUAUUGGGCGUAAAGAGCUCGUAGGCGGUCUGUCGCGUCGGCUGUGAAAUCCCGGGGCUCAACCCCGGGCCUGCAGUCGAUACGGGCAGACUAGAGUGCGGUAGGGGAGACUGGAAUUCCUGGUGUAGCGGUGAAAUGCGCAGAUAUCGGGAGGAACACCGGUGGCGAAGGCGGUUCUCUGGGCCUGUUCUGACGCUGAGGAGCGAAAGCGUGGGGAGCAAACAGG
rnacentral:rRNA from 1 species